GGGGAUGAACUGGAUUCGACGGGUGGUAGACGCACGGCAGGCUGCGUGCCGAGCUGCCUGGCAUGCUCGUUAAUCUCGCCAGGAAAAAUAAGUGCGAACGACUACUCGUACGCGAUGGCGGCCUAAUUAAGCCCGCCAUCUGUCUCCCGCGCAGCGCGUCCGCCCGCGCGCGGCGAGGCAUCGUCGGAGGCGGACUGGCUGUAGCCGGUGCCGGCUGAACCGGCGCAGCGAGAUUCCAAUCAGCCUGGGUCCAUGCCUGGCCUCGCCGGCCGGCAUACGGCAUGGACGACAACGAAUAGGCCGGCUACGCACGUAGACGCCUGACUGGGCGGCCAUCCGGACGCGGGUUCGAUUCCCGCCAUCUCCACCA
rnacentral:tmRNA from 1 species